UCUGCCCUUUGGCCUGGAAUAACACGAGGAAACUUGUGCUAAUACCGGAUAAGUCUUUACGGAGAAAGCUUUAUGCACCAUUGGAUGAGCCUGCACUUGAUUAGUUUGUUGGUGGGGUAAUGGCCUACCAAGACAAUGAUCAAUAGCUGAUUUGAGAGGAUGAUCAGCCACAUUGGGACUGAGACACGGCCCAAACUCCUACGGGAGGCAGCAGUAGGGAAUCUUGCACAAUGGAGGAAACUCUGAUGCAGCGAUGCCGCGUGAGUGAAGAAGGCCUUUGGGUUGUAAAGCUCUUUCGUCGGGGAAGAAAAUGACUGU
rnacentral:rRNA from 1 species